rnacentral:rRNA from 1 species
CCUAUGGGUGGCAGCAGUCGAGAAUCAUUCACAAUGGGGGAAACCCUGAUGGUGCGACGCCGCGUGGGGGAAUGAAAGUCUUCGGAUUGUAAACCCCUGUCAUGUGGGAGCAAAUUAAAAAGAUAGUACCACAAGAGGAAGAGACGGGUAACUCUGGGCCAGCAGCCGCGGUAAUACAGAGGUCUUAAGCGUUGUUCGGAAUCACUGGGCUUAAAGGGUGCGUAGGCUGUUUCGUAAGUGGAGUGUGAAAGGUGCGGGGUCAACCCGCGGACGGCACUUAAUACUGCAAGACUAGAGUAAUGGAGAGGGAGCCGGAAUUAUCGGUGUAGCGGUGAAAUGCGUAGAUAUCGAUGAGAACACU